rnacentral:rRNA from 1 species
UACGGAGGGGGCUAGCGUUGUUCGGAAUUACUGGGCGUAAAGCGCACGUAGGCGGAUUGUUAAGUCGGGGGUGAAAUCCCGGGGCUCAACCCCGGAACUGCCUUCGAUACUGGCAAUCUUGAGGUCGGGAGAGGUGAGUGGAAUGGCGAGUGUAGAGGUGAAAUUCGUAGAUAUUCGCCGGAACACCAGUGGCGAAGGCGGCUCACGGGCCCGAUACUGACGUUGAGGUGCGAAAGCGUGGGGAGCAAACAGG